AGGCAAAUGCUUUACCGCUGUGCUAUCAUUGGAACAAUACAGAGAAGAUUAGCAUGGCCCCAAGCAAGGAUGACAUACAAAUUCAUGAACUGUUUCAUAUUUUU